GACAGAGGUGCCGAGCGUUAGGCGGAAUCACUGGGCUUAAAGCGUGUGUAGGCGGGCCGUUAAGUGUCUUGUGAAAUCCCCCCGGCUCAACCGGGGAAUUGCUGGGCAUACUGGCGGUCUUGAGCGAUCUAGGGGGCAGAUGGAACAAGUGGUGGAGCGGUGAAAUGCGUAGAUAUCACUUGGAACGCCAAAGGUGAAGACAGUCUGCUGGGGAUCUGCUGACGCUGAGACACGAAAGCCAGGGGAGCGAACGGG
rnacentral:rRNA from 1 species